rnacentral:rRNA from 1 species
UACGGAGGGGACUAGCGUUGUUCGGAAUUACUGGGCGUAAAGCGCACGUAGGCGGAUUUGUAAGUCAGGGGUGAAAUCCCGGAGCUCAACUCCGGAAUUGCCUUUGAUACUGGCUAUCUUGAGUACGGAAGAGGUAUGUGGAACUCCGAGUGUAGAGGUGAAAUUCGUAGAUAUUAGGAAGAACACCAGUGGCGAAGGCGGCUCACUGGUCCGGUACUGACGCUGAGGUGCGAAAGCGUGGGGAGCAAACAGG